CAACAAGUUUUGUUGCCACUUUUCAAGAUAUAUUAACAUCGAAAACUCGACUUUACGCCAAAAAAAUCGAUUUCUGGACCACAGUUCACUGCGAGUAUUCUUACUCGAACCGAUUCCCACACAAAUAAUGGCGUGGAAGUCGGAGCCGAGGACCAGCAGCAGCGCAGUGGAGCAACUGGUGGAGUGCAAAAAUAGGAAUAUAGGAAUUGCAGAAAGAGGGAUACUUGGCCGCCGUAUGCGAACACAAUGCCCGAGAACCGGCGAUACGGUCUGGUGAUAACAAACCAGAGUUCGGACGCGGACGUUGUGGACACCUUUGCCCUAAUUGUAAACGCCAACCGACGCCGAUGCGUAGAAUGCCGCGCUGUUCUUCUUACUUAUGACGGGGAUUUCAUCUGGCGCUGCUGUUUGCCACCAUAGGCUUCAUACCUCAACCUUAGCUAACAUUGUGCAUACAUGGUACAUACAUAAUACUGUGGGCCUUACCGAGUAUCUAUCCGCAGACGUUCGACUCCAGCAUGCUAGUGGUCUGCGAGGAUGAGGAAACCGCCCAAUGGGUCAUCUCAGCCGUCCAUGGUAUGUGCCCGCCGCACUCCUGCCAGCCCUUAAUCGAGUUCUUCGGCCUCCUGAGGACGUGAGGAGUCGCAGAACCCGGGCCUAAACACCGACAAGUGGGCCGUGGUCAAUCGCUCCACCCUAGACUGCAAUGAUGUGGAGCGGCAGGUCCCUCAGUUCUGCGACAACAUCGUGAUAGAGCUGUAUGUCAAAGAGGAAAGUAGGGAAUUAAUCGCCGAACGAUGCUUUAAACUACGUUACUGCUUCUGGCAACUUCUAUUCAGUUUUGAUUGCUAGGACGUUUUUGGGUUUUCCAAAUUAUUUGUUAAUA
rnacentral:misc_RNA from 1 species